rnacentral:SRP_RNA from 1 species
GCCGGGUGCGGUGGCAUGUGCCUGUAAUCCAAGUCACUGGGAGGCUGAGGUUGGUGGAUCAAGUGAGUUGAGGAGCUCUGGGCUGCAGCACACUAUGUUGAACGGGUGUCCACGCUAAGUUCGGUAUCGAUAUGGUGUUCCAGGGGGAGCCCGGGACCACCAGGUUGUCUAAGGAGGGGUGAACCGGCCCAGGUCGGAAACGAAGCAGGUCAAAUCCCCCGUGCUGUCCAGUAGUUGGAUAAUACCUGUGAGUAGAUGCUGCAGUGCAGCCUUGGCAAAACAUCGAGACCUAAUCUUUA